rnacentral:rRNA from 1 species
GAUGAACGCUGGCGGCGUGCUUAACACAUGCAAGUCGAACAAUGAAGCCCAGCUUGCUGGGUGGAUUAGUGGCGAACGGGUGAGUAACACGUGAGUAACCUGCCCUUAACUCUGGGAUAAGCCUGGGAAACUGGGUCUAAUACCGGAUAGGAGCGUCCACCGCAUGGUGGGUGUUGGAAAGAUUUAUCGGUUUUGGAUGGACUCGCGGCCUAUCAGCUUGUUGGUGAGGUAAUGGCUCACCAAGGCGACGACGGGUAGCCGGCCUGAGAGGGUGACCGGCCACACUGGGACUGAGACACGGCCCAGACUCCUACGGGAGGCAGCAGUGGGGAAUAUUGCACAAUGGGCGCAAGCCUGAUGCAGCGACGCCGCGUGAGGGAUGACGGCCUUCGGGUUGUAAACCUCUUUCAGUAGGGAAGAAGCGAAAGUGACGGUACCUGCAGAAGAAGCACCGGCUAACUACGUG